CUAACAUGAUUUAACUAAUUACCAGAUCUCUUCAACAGUCGUUGUCUCUAUGGAGCUCACAUUUCCCACCAUUCCUGCCAUCUGUGCUUUCCUUCUUCUUCUCUUCAUGCUAACCCUGCUACUUAAAAAAAAGGUCAACAACAACUCAACCCUUAAGCUCCCACCGGGGCCCUGGAAAUUGCCUUUUGUUGGAAACAUUCACUGUCUUCUGGGCUCACUCCUUCAUCACAAGCUUGCAGAUUUGGCCAAGAAAUAUGGACC
rnacentral:misc_RNA from 1 species